rnacentral:rRNA from 1 species
AACAAACGCUGGCGGCGUGCCUAAUACAUGCAAGUCGAACGGGGAAAGCUUUCGGGUGAGUACUAGUGGCGCACGGGUGAGUAACGCGUGGAUAAUCUGCCUUAGAGUGGGGGAUAACUAGUCGAAAGAUUAGCUAAUACCGCAUAAGACCACAAGAACUGCGGUUCAAGGGGUCAAAGGUUUUUCGCUCUAAGAUGAGUCCGCGUAAGAUUAGCUAGUUGGUAGGGUAACGGCCUCCAAAGGCGACGAUCUUUAACUGGUCUGAGAGGAUGAUCAGGAACACUGGAGCUGAGACACGGGCCAGACUCCUACGGGAGGCAGCAGUAGGGAAUAUUGCACAAUGGAGGAAACUCUGAUGCAGCGACGCCGCGUGAGUGAUGAAGGCCUUCGGGUCGUAAAGCUCUGUCGCAGGGGAAUAACACAAUGAAGGUACCCUGUAAGAAAGGAUCGGCUAACUUCGUGCCAGCCGCCGCAGUAACAC